rnacentral:rRNA from 1 species
AGCAGCCGCGGUAAUUCCAGCUCCAAUAGCGUAUAUUAAAGUUGUUGCAGUUAAAAAGCUCGUAGUUGAAUUUCGGGGUCAGCAGGUUGGUCGUGCCUCUGGUACGCACUGGUUUCGCUGAUUCCUCCUUUCUGAAGAACUGUAAUGUCAUUAAUUUGGUGUUGCAGGGAAACAGGACUGUUACUUUGAAAAAAUUAGAGUGUUUAAAGCAAGCUAACGCUUGAAUACAUUAGCAUGGAAUAAUGAAAUAGGACGUUUGAUCCUAUUUUGUUGGUUUCUAGGAUUGACGUAAUGAUUAAUAGGGAUAGUUGGGGGCAUUAGUAUUCAAUUGUCAGAGGUGAAAUUCUUGGAUUUAUUGAAGACUAACUACUGCGAAAGCAUUUGCCAAGGAUGUUUUCAUUAAUCAAGAACGAAAGUUAGGGGAUCGAAGACGAUCAGAUACCGUCGUAGUCUUAACCAUAAACUAUGCCGACUAGGGAUAAAGGGGAUGUUAAUUUUUUAAUGACUCA